rnacentral:rRNA from 1 species
UCGAGGGGUAUAAGGAGCUUGCUCCUUAGAGACCGGCGCACGGGUGCGUAACGCGUAUGCAAUCUACCUUUCACAGAGGGAUAGCCCAGAGAAAUUUGGAUUAAUACCUCAUAGUAUAUAUGGAUGGCAUCAUUUGUAUAUUAAAGUCACAACGGUGAAAGAUGAGCAUGCGUCCCAUUAGCUAGUUGGUAAGGUAACGGCUUACCAAGGCGACGAUGGGUAGGGGUCCUGAGAGGGAGAUCCCCCACACUGGUACUGAGACACGGACCAGACUCCUACGGGAGGCAGCAGUGAGGAAUAUUGGUCAAUGGGCGCAAGCCUGAACCAGCCAUGCCGCGUGCAGGAUGAAGCAUCUAUGGUGUGUAAACUGCUUUUGUACGGGAAGAAACAGAGGUUCGUGAACCUCCUUGACGGUACCGUAAGAAUAAGGAUCGGCUAACUCCGUGCCAGCAGCCGCGGUAAUACGGAGGAUCCAAGCGUUAUCCGGAAUCAUUGGGUUUAAAGGGUCCGUAGGCGGUUUGGUAAGUCAGUGGUGAAAGCCCAUCGCUCAACGGUGGAACGGCCAUUGAUACUGCCAGACUUGAAUUACUAGGAAGUAACUAGAAUAUGUAGUGUAGCGGUGAAAUGCUUAGAUAUUACAUGGAAUAC